rnacentral:rRNA from 1 species
CACGGACCGCACGAACGUUAUUCGGUAUCACUGGGCUUAAAGGGUGCGUAGGCGGCUUUGCAAGUUGGGUGUGAAAGCCCUCGGCUCAACCGAGGAAGUGCACUCGAAACUGCUUGGCUUGAGUCCCGGAGAGGAUAGUGGAAUUCUCGGUGUAGAGGUGAAAUUCGUAGAUAUCGAGAGGAACACCGGUGGCGAAGGCGGCUAUCUGGACGGUGACUGACGCUGAGACGCGAAAGCGUGGGGAGCAAACAGG